UACGUAGGGUGCAAGCGUUAUCCGGAAUUAUUGGGCGUAAAGAGCUCGUAGGCGGUUUGUCGCGUCUGCUGUGAAAACUGGAGGCUCAACCUCCAGCCUGCAGUGGGUACGGGCAGACUAGAGUGCGGUAGGGGAGAUUGGAAUUCCUGAUGUAGCGGUGGAAUUCGCAGAUAUCAGGAGGAACACCGAUGGCGAAGGCAGAUCUCUGGGCCGUAACUGACGCUGAGGAGCGAAAGCA
rnacentral:rRNA from 1 species